UACGUAGGGUGCGAGCGUUGUCCGGAAUUAUUGGGCGUAAAGAGCUUGUAGGCGGUUUGUCGCGUCUGCUGUGAAAAUCCGGGGCUCAACCCCGGACUUGCAGUGGGUACGGGCAGACUAGAGUGUGGUAGGGGAGACUGGAAUUCCUGGUGUAGCGGUGAAAUGCGCAGAUAUCAGGAGGAACACCGAUGGCGAAAGCGGCUCUCUGGAACGGUACUGACGCUGAGACGCGAAAGCGUGGGGAGCGAACAGG
rnacentral:rRNA from 1 species